AACUCUGAAUAAUUGUCACUCACAUCUAAAAAAUGAUAUCACUGCGAAAACGUAAACAUGAUUGUGACAAUAUAAACAAAAAACAACAAAAAUCAUGCCCAAUGGCUCGGAUGCAUUCAAGGCUGGCGAUGAAAUUGAAUGCGGCAUGGCCGAGUCUGCCAGGCUGCAGUUGCAAAUAGAAGUUUACUACAUAGGAUUUAAAUGUCGAAAACAAAAGAUUACAAUAUAAAAAAAGCGGGACGUGGCUUUCAUCUGGAGGAAAAACUACAAAAAGACAAUAAAAUUCAAGGAGCUGUUGAAAGCUUUGAUUUAAGCCUGGAUGCUUUAGAGACUGACCUGAAAAUAGCUCUCUCAGCGCACAGAUCGCCACAUAUGAACUUAGACGAACAAAUCUAAUUGGACAGUUAUUUGGUAUACUUAACCACC